UACGUAGGGGGCAAGCGUUGUUCGGAAUUACUGGGCGUAAAGGGCGCGUAGGCGGCACGGCAAGUCAGGAGUGAAAGCCCUGGGCUCAACCCCGGAAUGGCUUUCGAAACUGCUGAGCUAGAGUACAGAAGGGGCAACCGGAAUUCCCAGUGUAGCGGUGAAAUGCGUAGAUAUUGGGAAGAACACCUGAGGCGAAGGCGGGUUGCUGGGCUGAUACUGACGCUGAGGCGCGAAAGCCAGGGGAGCAAACGGG
rnacentral:rRNA from 1 species